GCUUAACACAUGCAAGUCGAACGAUGAAGCCGGGGCUUUUUGUUUUGGUGGAUUAGUGGCGAACGGGUGAGUAAUACGUGAGUAACCUGCCCUUGUCUUUGGGAUAAGCCUGGGAAACUGGGUCUAAUACCGGAUAUUCUGCUUUUGCCGCAUGGUGGGGGUUGGAAAGAUUUUUUGGAUGGGGAUGGGCUCACGGCCUAUCAGCUUGUUGGUGGGGUGAUGGCCUACCAAGGCGUCGACGGGUAGCCGGCCUGAGAGGGUGACCGGCCACAUUGGGACUGAGAUACGGCCCAGACUCCUACGGGAGGCAGCAGUGGGGAAUAUUGCACAAUGGACGCAAGUCUGAUGCAGCGACGCCCGCGUGGGGGAUGAAGGCUUUCGGGUUGUAA
rnacentral:rRNA from 1 species